rnacentral:rRNA from 1 species
UCCGUAGGCGGGCUUGUAAGUCAGUGGUGAAAUACUGCCGCUUAACGGUAGAACUGCCAUUGAUACUGCAAGUCUUGAAUAUGGUUGAGGUAGGCGGAAUGUGUCGUGUAGCGAUGAAAUGCAUAGAUAUGACACAGAACGCCAAUUGCGAAGGCAGCUUACUAAGCCAUUAUUGACGCUGAGGCACGAAAGCGUGGGGAGCGAACAGGAUUAGAUACCCUGGUAGUCC